rnacentral:lncRNA from 1 species
GCCAAUAUGACUGAACUCCAGUUCUUGUGGUUGCCGCUGCCGCGGCGGCCAGCACUGCUAGGGCCAGUGAUGCCAGUGCUGCUGAGGAAUGAUUCUUUCACCAACCAGUGGCAACAGAACCUCAGCCCUUGAAGGUCAGCGCAUUAUUGCUUUUACCGUCAGAAGUUUAAAUCUUCAGGGGGAGAAAUGAAGGCAGAAUAUCCAAGACUCUAUGGACCUCUAUUGUCAGCUUCAACGUCUGCCAGCCAUAGUAAUUCAACCCCAAAAUCUCUGCUGUAUGCCAUACCAGCUAUAAAAACAGAGCAGUGCUCAAGGAAUGUUUACAGCUAAGGAGGCUCUAUGGAGGAUUGCCUGAAGGACAUGAAGUCCAUCCAUCUCUCCAGAUACUUGAAAUGGCAUCUCAAGAUCAAGGUAAACCAUACAAACUAAAUAGUUGAGUCAUAUUGUUUUGGCCCCUUUUACUUUUACUCACUUUUACUGAAUUGCAUCUUGGCAGUGGGCCUCAGCUUCCAUGGAAGGACCCAACGAGAAAUAGCCAUAGGCUUGUCAGCAUUGUUAGCAUCAUGGAGGAUAUUGAGAAAGGCACUGGCCUCUGAACCAUGCGUGUUCCACCUCUGAGAGCACAAACAGCCGUUUCCCUUAGACUCGAAUGCCAGGAAACAAUUGACUUUUCAUGAGUAACAACAACGUGUUUCCCUGGAGUAAACCUAGGGAUGGUCAAGAGCACGGUCUUGAAACCAGAAUGCUUUAGUUCAAAUCCAGCAUCCAUCACCCGUUAGCUGGUUGACCUUGAGCCUUUUAACUUCUCUGUGCCUUAAUUUCCUCAUUUGUAAAAUAAUGAAAAUAAUCGUAGCUACUUCGU